rnacentral:rRNA from 1 species
UACGUAGGGUGCGAGCGUUGUCCGGAAUUAUUGGGCGUAAAGAGCUCGUAGGCGGUUUGUUGCGUCGGCCGUGAAAACCUGCAGCUUAACUGUGGGCCUGCGGCCGAUACGGGCAGACUUGAGUUCGGUAGGGGAGACUGGAAUUCCUGGUGUAGCGGUGAAAUGCGCAGAUAUCAGGAGGAACACCGGUGGCGAAGGCGGGUCUCUGGGCCGAUACUGACGCUGAGGAGCGAAAGCAUGGGGAGCGAACAGG